CACCAGGUUGAUUCUGCCUGACGUGGAUGCUAGUUUCAUAGGUUAAGCCAUGCAUGUGUAAGCGAAGCUUUUAGUGGAGCGGCGCAAGGCUCAGUAACGGGCGUCUGAUUUGAUCUCUCGGAGUGGACAACCUCUGUAACCGGAGGCCAAAACACGGGAGGGGCAUGCAGUGGAGAUGCCCCGAGAGCAUUAGUGAGAGAGAGAGUAAGGAGCCAUCCCAUCAGUUAGUAAGUAGGGUAAGGGCCUACUUAGACGAGGACGGGUACGGGGAAUUAGAGUUUGAUUCCGGAGAGGGAGCCUGAGAGACGGCUACCAGGUCCAAGGACAGCAGCAGGCGCGAAAAUUACCGAAGCCUGCAUUCAGGGCGGUAGUAAGGAAACGUGAAAACGAUGUGCAGGUAAAGAAUGCACUAGUAACAGGAGGUCAAGACUGGUGCCAGCAUCCGCGGUAAUACCAGCUCCUGGAGUGUCUAUGAUGAUUGCUGCAGUUAAAGAGUUCGUAGUCGGACUGCGUGACUGGCGUGAAAGACCCUUUUAUUCAUUCAAGGGGGGCGCAGCGCCGGAAAAGCAGGGAAUAAGGAGCGGCCGGGGCACAGGUUAUUAAGCGACGAGAGGUGAAAUUUGAUGACUCGCUUAGGAGCAACAGAGGCGAAAGCGCUGUGCAGGGGCGAUUCCGAUGAUAAAGGACGUAGGCUAGAGGAUCGAAGAUGAUUAGAGACCGUUGUAGUUCUAGCAGUAAACGAUGCCGAUGCCGUGGGGCAGUUCUUAGACUGCGCCGCGGAAGAGAAAUUGAGUAGGGCCCUGGGGAGAGUACACGCGCAAGCGAGAAAUUUAAAGGAAAUUGACGGAAGAACACCACAAGGAGUGGAGUGUGCGGCUUAAUUUGACUCAACGCGGGACAGCUUACCAGGCCCGACGACCGCACGAGUGUGGUACACGAUAGGUCGGAGAGUGGUGCAUGGCCGUUAACGACAAGUGGGGUGACCUUUGGGUUAAGUCCGGGAAGUUGUGAGACCCCUGCUGGCGAGCCAGGACAGGUGCUCAAAGCACAGGAAGGAAGGGUCAAGAACAGGUCAGUGAUGCCCUUAGAUGGUCUGGGCUGCACGCGCACUACAGUGGUCGCACGAGUUUAUAGAUAGAAGAAAUGGUGAUCGAGAGGAAAUGAGCUUUGCAAGAGGCUCAGGAACGAGGAAUUGCUAGUAAUCGCGGGCUCAUUAAGACGCGAUGAAUACGUCCCUGUUCUUUGUACACACCGCCCGUCGUUAUCGAAGAUGGAGUCAGGCGCGAACAAGCGAGAGCGAGUGAGUGCAGGGUUCUAGGUGUGAUACAAGUCGUAACAAGGUAGCUGUAGGAGAACCAGCAGCAGGAUCAUAA
rnacentral:rRNA from 1 species